rnacentral:rRNA from 1 species
AUUGAACGCUGUCGGCAGGCCUAACACAUGCAAGUCUAGCGGAGCCGCGGACGUGUGAGUAAUGCCUAGGAAUCUGCCUGGUAGUGGGGGAUAACGUCCGGAAACGUGCUCUAAUACCGCAUACUAUCAGAUUAGCCUAGGUCGGAUUAGUUAGUUGGUGGGGUAAAGGCCUACCAAGGCGACGAUCCGUAACUGGUCUGAGAGGAUGAUCAGUCAAACUGGAACUGAGACACGGUCCAGACUCCUACGGGUGGCAGCAGUGGGGAAUAUUGGACAAUGGGCGAAAGCCUGCUCCAGCCAUGACGCGUGUGUGAAGAAGGUCUUCGGAUUGUAAAGGUCUUUAAGUUGGGAGGCGUUACCAACAGAAUAAGCACCGGCUAACUUCGUGCCAGCAGCCGCGGUAAUAC